rnacentral:rRNA from 1 species
GGACUACUGGGGUUUCUAAUCCCGUUCGCUCCCCUGGCUUUCGCGCCUCAGCGUCAGAAGAGGUCCAGCAGCUCGCUUUCGCCACCGGCGUUCCUUCCGAUAUCAACGCAUUUCACCGCUCCACCGGAAGUUCCAGCUGCCCCUACCUCGCUCAAGACAAGUAGUAUCCAAGGCUAUUUUCCGGUUAAGCCGAAAGAUUUCACCCCGGACUAUCUUGCCCGCCUACGCGCCCUUUAAGCCCAGUGAUUCCGAACAACGUUCGCACGGUUUGUCUUACCGCGGCGGCUGGCAC